rnacentral:rRNA from 1 species
GAUGAACGCUGGCGGCGUGCCUAAUACAUGCAAGUCGAGCGAACGGACGAGAAGCUUGCUUUUCUGAUGUUAGCGGCGGACGGGUGAGUAACACGUGGAUAACCUACCUAUAAGACUGGGAUAACUUCGGGAAACCGGAGCUAAUUCCGGAUAAUAUUUUGAACCGCAUGGUUCAAAAGUUAAAGACGGUCUUGCUGUCACUUAUACAUGGAUCCGCGCUGCAUUAGCUAGUUGGUAAGGUAACGGCUUACCAAGGCAACGAUGCAUAGCCGACCUGAGAGGGUGAUCGGCCACACUGGAACUGAGACACGGUCAAGACGCCUACGGGAGGCAGCAGUAGGGAAUCUGCGGCAAUGGGAGAAAGCAUGACGGAGCAACGCCGCGUGAGUGAUGAAGGUCUUCGGAUCGUAAAACUCUGUUAUUAGGGAAGAACAUAUGUGUAAGUAACUGUGCACAUCUUGACGGUACCUAAGCAGAAAGCCACGGCUAACUACGUG